GUACUGCGAUUGGCCACCGACAGGAAGUCCGGGUUGCAUUAUGCAUAAUAUGCGGCGUUAGUUUUGUCAGUAUGGCUAUUGGAUGGACCUUCGCAGUUCGAUGAUGUGAGAUGUGAUAAGUGUGCUCGCGGUCAGUUGUGUCAUUUAUGGGCUGGGGGUGAGAAAACUCAACAAGACGUCCUUUACGUACAUUUUAAAGAGCCACACCUUACUGCCGAGUUAUUCUAGAAAUUGUGUCAGUCUCCCCCCAUAACCCCAGCUGUGAAUGUAGUACUCGUCACCACUCACAGUGAAGAUCAUAGAACUAUUCUCUUGUCACCAAUGACAAAGGAGAUUGAAUUGGCUCCAGGUAGAUGGGUUGGAGGAUCACAUCCAUGUUUCAUAAUUGCUGAAGUCGGACAAAAUCACCAAGGUGACAUGAACAUAGCUAAAACAUUAAUAAGAGCAGC